rnacentral:miRNA from 1 species
GGUCCAGUGACUAAGAGCAU